AGCCCACCAGAGUGGAUCUACCAGCAGCGCUACCACGGCGAGGCAGCAACGAUCUGGUCCCUGGGCCUCCUGCUGUACCACCUGGUCGUGGGGAAGCACCCGUUCAGGAGGGGCCAGCAGAUCAUCUGGGGCCGCAUCUUGUUCCCACGAUGGCUCUCUCCAGAGUGCCAGGAUGUCAUUAAGAGGUGUUUGUCCAUGCAACCCUUGGACAGGCCAUCCUUAGAAGACCUCUUCAAUGAUCCUUGGCUGCAGGGCGUUCAUCUGCCCUAGAAGAUGGGAGAGGUCCAUGUGCACAAUUGGAUCCAAAACCUGGCAGGUAACAGCUCCACACAUCUCAUGGCAAUCAGUGCUAAAGAAGAGCAGACUGUUUUUGUCCUGCCUGUAGCUCUGAGCAGGGAUCAUCAGAUGGGAACGUCUGUGCUGGAGCUUAGCUGGAGACCUGCUCCAGCAAGCACUGGUGGCCACCAUGCAGCCUAGUUUUGGUUGUCCUUCUUCCCUGAUGGCUGGGGCCCUGGGCAGAACAGUGACAGCCUGCUCUGGCCCCCAGGGAAGGAGGAGGCCCUGGAGAAGCUCUGUCAGGUGGGGCUGCUGCUGGAGACACCAAGGACAACCUCAGGGAUGACAAUCUCUUCCUCCACCUGGUCAGCAGCAGCUGAAGAUGAUGGAGUUUGAUUUUGGUACCUUCUUCAGAGACACGCUCCAUGCCCAAUCUGCAGGAGUGCCACAACUGAGCAAAACCUGGGGAGUGGAUGGUGUUCCUAAGGCAGUGCAGUCUGGAGCUGAUGGAUGAAGAAUUAAUUGCCCUUCUGCACCUCGAAACCAGAGCAACAAGCUAAAAACUUUCCUAAGAAAGGAGUGUCCUUUGCUGCUGGUUCCCGUGUGGAGCAGCUCCCUUCUCGCUGGCUGAGCUGCUCAGGCACAGCCCGGCAGCUCCUGGCCCUGCAGGGCUGAGGCUUUUCCCCGGUGCUGGGCACAGACUGAUGGAGCAGCACUGCUCAACACGGGCACACACACAGGGAGCAGAAGCAGCUGCCUUUGCCCACCUGCAGCUCCAGGGCCCAAACUCUGAGCACACAGGGCUGGAAGGGACUGGCAGCUCCCUGUUUGCUGUGCUGCCCCACUUGUGCCCGGCCCAGCUCUGCAGCCCUGGGCUUUGUGCAAGGAACAGAGGUGAGGACUCCCUCUCCAUGUGCAGCUUCCAGAUGGAAAAGGCUGCUGUGAGCAGGCAGCUCCAAGGGCAGAGAAAGGAGGGUCUCCACCACUGGAUCUGUGCCACUUCCACAGUCCUGGGCAGCAGCCACUGAGCCCAGGGGAACAGAGGGCACAGCAAGAGGGACAAAACCAGGCAAGGUUAGAGCCUGGGAGGAGCCAGAGCUGGGAGCAGGAGCAGCUGCUCCAUUGCACUCUUGGAGAAAGCUCUGGGCUGUUUGUGAGUGCUGAAAGGCGUGAAGGGCAGAGAGGAGGCCACAGCAAACAAUGCUCCUGUUUGCACACCCUGCCCUCUCAGUGUCCCAGAAGGAAUUGCAUGAACUGUGUUCUUCUCUCGGAGUCGUCUCGUUCAGCAUGAGCAGCUUUGCACCAGGAGCUGAAGGAGCCGAAGCCUUAGGCCACAAGAGCUGAGCAAGAGGGAACUUUUUGACCAAAGUAAUGCUGCUAACAUGGACCUGACUGAAUGCAGCAGAUAAAAUCAUGGAAAUACAGAAUCCUUCCUGUUGGAAAAGACCUCUGAGCUCAUCAAGUGCAAGUGUUAAGCCAGCACUGUCAAGCCCAGCACUAAACCCUGAAGAGCCAGGCCUGGACAAGAGGCCUGAGUGAGGCCUGAACAGCGGGCCCUGAGCCAAAGGUGACCUCUGGAUGAACCUUCCAACCAAAGGGUAUCUUUGUAUCUGCUCCUUAACAAAAAAUGCAUGGUCAUUAGCCUUGUACUAGAUGUAUCCACUCCUUAGUGAAACAGGUCAUGAUCUUUCUGUAUUUAGAAGCCAGACAAGGCCAUGAAAUCUGACAUCUGGCCUUGUCUGGGGCUGUAUGGUCAAAGGCAACUCCCUUGGUUCCUCCUUGGGCCCUGGCCAGGCUUUGGGAGGGAUCCAAGAGGAGGAUGAAACCAGAUGUUCCUGCACUAGAAGUGCUGUCAGUUUGUUUAUUCAGCUCUGUCAAAGCUGGGCCCUCUCACAGCCAGGCUGGAGCCUCAGCUGUGGCUGGAGGCACCUGCAGGAAUUCCCAGUGCCCGGGAGUGGCUCUGCAGUCCUUGGCUGUGACAGCUUCCCCCAGCUGAUGUGUGGGUGUGGGUGAUGGGAAAGUGUGAGGGCAACUGGUGAUGGAUCUUUCUUCAUCACUGCGGGCAAUCUUUGGUAGUGAUGCUUGGGGACAUUGCUGAGCUGCUCCUUUUGUGCUCCUUUGCUGCUUUGAACUGUAGGAAAUGACACUGAUUCCUUCAGGGGGUGUCUGUGCCUUUGGUGCUGACCCUGCCCACUGGUCAAACAAAAUUGGCAUUGUUUGGCCAGAGCAGCACAAAAUGUCACUUUUUCAGUCUAAAUGGGAGGAAUCAAUCCUAUCUGACACUCCCAGAUGGGAAGCCCUUCCCUAGAGUUCUCUGGCUCUGGAGUGGGCUGAGGUGGGAGCGGAUUUUUGACAGGGGCCACUGCAUUAGAGGGUGUAAAGUGUCCCACCCUGGCUCUAAAAUGGCUCACUGCUCAGCCUGGGUGGGGACCACAGUGGUCCUUAAAAAGGAGAAACUAGAUGCCCUAAGAACCCUGGUACAGGAACAACUGGUUCAAGGACACAUAGAGCCAUCUAUGAGCCCUUGGAACACCCCAGUAUUUGUUAUAAAAAAGAAAUCUGGAUAGUGGAGGUUACUCCAUGAGCUGAGAAAAAUCCAUUCUGUGAUGGAGAGAACGGGCACGUUGCAGCCUGGUCUGCCAUCUCCUGCAGUGAUUCCUGCCUCCUGGGACAUCCUGACUGUGGACUUAAAGGACUGUUUGUUCACUCUUCCAUUGCACCCAGAGGACACCCCAAAGUUUGCCUUUACCCUGCCUUCUGUCAAUAACACUGCACCAGUGCAAGGUUCUCAAUGGAAAGUACUUUCCCAAAACAGGGGAAACAGCCCCACAGUCUGUCAGGGCUGUGCUGCUCAGGUACUCUCAUCAGUGAGAGAACCAUUCCCAGGGGCAUACUGUUCCCAUGACAUGGAUGACAUUUUGAUUGCAACCCAAACCAAAAAAGAACUCUCCCUGAUUCAGCCAAGCCUGUUGCAAGCAUUAAAAACAUUUGGGCUGCAGGUAGCACCAGAGAAAGUGCAGCAGCAACCAGCCUGGAAAUAUUUGGAACUCAAAAUAAUGGACCAGACUAUACAGCCACAAACAAUUCCAUUUUCAACCAAAAUUCUAACUCUAAACGAUGCACAAAAACUCCUGGGUACCAUCAGCUGGGUCAGGCCUUACCUAGGACUGACCAACUCUCAAUGAGCACCUUUAGUUGACCUCCUAAAGGGUGACUCUGAAUGAACUUCCCCCAGAAAAUGAACCCCAGAGGCAAAAGCUGCUCUCCAAACAGUAGAGCAAGCUAGCACAAACAGACAAGUCCACAGGACAUGCCCAGAGGUGUGUAUCACUGUGUUUAUUCUCAUUGUUAAUUUUCAUCCUACUGGUAUUACUGGACAGUGGAAUACACACUGGCCUGAUCCUUUGCACAUUCCAGAAUGAAUGUUUCUACCUCAUCGACCAAAAAAGAUGACAUCCACUGUCUUUGAACUAAUUGCACAGUUAUUUAUCAAAUGCUGUCCCAGGUGUUUACAAUUGAAUGCUAGAGCUCCUUCAAGAAUGAUCUUGUGUCUGUGACACAAGAGCAAUUGGAAUGGUGUUUGCUGACAGUACAGCCCUGCCAAGUGCUUUGCAAGGACAGUGGAAGGCUUUGGGUACCUGCCAGACGUGUCCGUCCUGCCUUAGGUCCUGUCCAGGUGCACGAGCAGCAUUCUCCUGAGGGCCCUCAGCAGACGCUGUGGAGCCGUGUGUGGAACAGGGACAGAAACAGCUUCUUCACCCACCUCAUGAGGAUCUGGGACUCUGCAAGUGACAGUUCACUGAAGGGUUCUAUUUGUUUACAAACUGUUGUUCUGUUCACAGUGUGGUUUUUCUGUUUACAAACUGUUUUUCUGUUCAUUGUUUUUUCUCCCAUUUUUCAAAGUUGAAUGUUUCCUUGUUUCAGUGCUAAGCUGUAAUUUGUACCCAUAAGCAGUUAACCUGUCCCAUGCUAGCCUAGAAGAUUGUGAUCUGGCCUGACAGCUCCUGGCAGUGAGUGCUGCAACUCCAGGGCUACAUGGGACACAUCACUGGCUGAGGAGGAUGAAGUUGGACAAAACCUCCUUCAAAUUCAACCCAUGCUGUCUGCUGUUACCCCAUCUGCAAAAGGGCCCUUGCAAAUGGGAUAACAGCAAACAAUUGGCAUUUUAAUCAAAACCAAGGGAGGAGAUGUAGCAAGGUCCAGCUGGUUUACAGCUGGACAUAAGGAGUCUGACCAUAACAGACCCAACUGGGCUGACCUGGCUUGUUCUAGAAGUGCCAUGGGGAGCAAAGAGCUCAAGCAACCUCAUCCAAGCCCUGGAUGCAGACACAGCACUGGCCAGAGAUCUGGGCAGGGCACAGAUUCCCAACCAGCAGGCUUCCCAAGGCUGGGAAAUUCAAACUCACUAUCAAAGGGAGCUUGGAACAAUAAAUUGUGGCUGUUGGU